GCUCUGUGUGAGCUGCAGCGAGUCUCUGUGCUGCAGAACUCUGUGCAGCUCAGUGAUUCCCCUGCAGCAACUUCUAAAAACGCCGCUGGUACCUGCUGGAAAGGAUGGCACACGCUGCAGCCACCAAAGGUAAUAUUCUAGGGGCAAUUGGAGCAGCGGUGAAGCUGCAGCUGGAACCGACCAUCACAGACUGUUCAGACAGCCCCGCCGCCUGUAGGAGCCAGGAGCUGAGCCCCGUGGGACACAUGGAUUAAUAGCUCAUGUUGCAAACGAACAAUCUGUCCAUCUGCAUAUCGACAUUCUCCGGCGCUGUAGCAGGAAUGUGGCUGCUGCCAGGGGAGGCUGCUGUGAAUUGCUGAGGAUCUGCUGCACCAAAUUGUGCAAUUUUGCUGUUGUUUUAGUGAAUAAAUUCCAGGGAAUGCAAUCUGUAAUUAGCUGCAAUUUGGCACGCGGGAGCAGCGAGGAGACACUGACUGGAUGUGAAGGACUCAUCUGCAGAACUUCCAGAAGCUCGGCACGCACCGGGGGAGUCGCUGGCAGUGGUUCAGGGUGUUAUUUGCCAGAAAGGUUCCUUGGGAAGGUAGAAAUGAAUUGGAAAUGGGGGGAUUCACAGGUAGGCAGUGUGGGAAUGGCCUUGGGUUUGAAUAGAUUAAAAAAUUUCCAAGCAUAUGUUGAACUGAUGUCCACAUGAGCAAGUCUCUAAUUUGAUCACCACAUAUCUAAUAAACCCGGCAGCUCCUCCCUUCA